rnacentral:tRNA from 1 species
GACGCUGUGGCUCAGUGGGUUAAAGCCCUGGCCUGCAGCGCCAGCAUCCCAUAUGGGUGCCAGUUCGAGUCUGGCCUGCCCCA